rnacentral:rRNA from 1 species
GACGAACGCUGGCGGCGUGCCUAAUACAUGCAAGUUGAGCGAUGAAGAUUGGUGCUUGCACCAAUUUGAAGAGCAGCGAACGGGUGAGUAACGCGUGGGGAAUCUGCCUUUGAGCGGGGGACAACAUUUGGAAACGAAUGCUAAUACCGCAUAACAACUUUAAACAUAAGUUUUAAGUUUGAAAGAUGCAAUUGCAUCACUCAAAGAUGAUCCCGCGUUGUAUUAGCUAGUUGGUGAGGUAAAGGCUCACCAAGGCGAUGAUACAUAGCCGACCUGAGAGGGUGCUCGGCCACAUUGGGACUGCGACACGGCCCAAUCUCCUACGGGAGGCCGCAGUAGGGCAUCUUCGGCAAUGGACGAAAGUCUGACCGAGCAACGCCGCGUGAGUGAAGAAGGUUUUCGGAUCGUAAAACUCUGUUGGUAGGGAAGAACGUUGGUGAGAGUGGAAAGCUCAUCAAGUGACGGUAACUACCCAGAAAGGGACGGCUAACUACGUG